GUUGCGGUUAAAAAGCUCGUAGUUGGAUCUCGGCAAGUAGAGGGCGGUAUGCUUCGUAGCAUUACUGCCCUAUUACUUGUAGUUCUGCCAGAGGUUCCUGGGUGCUCUUAAUCGAGUGUCUAGGGAUGCUGGCAGGUUUACUUUGAAAAAAUUAGAGUGCUCAAAGCAGGCUAUUACGCUUGAAUAUUCGUGCAUGGAAUAAUAAAAUAGGAAGUUGUUUCUAUUUUGUUGGUUUUCGGAAAUCGACUUAAUGAUUAAUAGGGACAGUCGGGGGCAUUUGUAUUCAAACGACAGAGGUGAAAUUCUUGGACCGUUUGAAGACAAACUACUGCGAAAGCAUUUGCCAAGAAUGUUUUCAUUAAUCAAGAACGAAAGUUAGAGGUUCGAAGGCGAUUAGAUACCGCCCUAGUUCUAACCAUAAACGAUGCCAGCUAGCGAUCUGAGGACGUUUUUUUUGUAGACUCCUCAGGAAGCUUCCGGGAAACCAAAGCGUGUGGGUUCCGGGGGAAGUAUGGUUGCAAAGCUGAAACUUAAAGGAAUUGACGGAAGGGCACCACCAGGAGUGGAGCCUGCGGCUAAAUUUGACUCAACACGGGAAAUCUCACCAGGCCCGGACACUGGAAGGAUUGACAGAUUGAGAGCUCU
rnacentral:rRNA from 1 species